GUGGAGGGGUGACGGCGCCCCCUGAAGGUCGACGGCCGAUGGGCAGGGCGUUUGCUUGAAGUUAUCGCGAUACGCCUGCAUCUGUGGAAAGCGAUUUGCAAGAGGUGAAAGCGGAUUUCCCGAUGAACGAACACGAAUUCUUCGGAUCAUCCAAGCCUUAUGUGCAAUCACGUAAUGAAAAGAUCGCAGUGAAUGCUUCAUAAGCUGAAGCCUCGCUAAAAAGCAAAUGUCAAAAUGUUUCCUGGCACAGGUUGCGAAUUCUAUUGCGAUGGAGGAGAUCUGGGGUUAUCGCCAUCGUUCAUAUCAUAUCAGUUGCAUACUCAUGCAGCCCAUAUAUAAAGUACAUAGGUGAGACAGCUAUUUCAAUGGCUCGGCGACUAAAAUGGAUGCCAGAAAAGAAAAAAGUACCGAGCUGUUGGAACUGAAAUAUACCUACUCGUAUAUUGAAUUUAAAUAACCUUAUCAGCCAGCCGUUUUUAACCUGAGGAGCGACCUUGCGAUGAUAUCAAUGUGCGCCAGGUACACAGAAUCGAAUUAUUUCCACACAAAUCGGGUACAGAUGUACAUAUAGUAUGUGUAAAUUAGAAUCGCGACAAGCGGACUCUCAAAGUCCGAAGAUUGGUUAUGCAUUCGCCAUUAAGGUGUUUGUUUGCUUCACUUUCAGUUUCUUAAUCUCGGCCCGAUGCCAUAAGGUCUAUACUAUGUGUAGGUGUGAGAUUAUAAUGCCGAGCAUAAGUUUGCCUGUCGCGCUUUUCUUGCGCGGGUUCUCUGGGUUCUCGGGUUCAUAGUAGAGCCUCGUUAUCAGCUGAAAUGGGAUUGAAUACCUUGCCAGUGUGUUUGUGGCAGGCCAAAGUCCCAUUUUACCACUAAUCUGGAACUGCUGCUUCGGGGACCUGCAUUGCAUUGCGAUCGAACUCUCCGCUGGAAGACUCUUCCAUUUCGAUUUCGAUCUUGCCUCUUCUCUCUUGACAACGGGCGCCACUUGGAUGAUAUUGGAUGGAACCUUCAAGCCGCCGCUGUCCGAUGAUUUAUACACCGAUCGCCAAAGAUCAGACAGACGGACGGAGGAGAGCGGAUCCGCCGGAGAGUUGGCGACAAUAAUCAUCACGUUCACACACACUGUCCGGCUGAUCACCAUCCAUAUAGGUCUAUAUGUGCGGUAGCUAAUUACUGAUACACUGGGAAAAAACAGUGGUAGUAUUAAAAAAUAUUUAAAAAUAUUCACAUAAUAAUAGUUUGUAAGAAACAAAAUGUAUUACAUAAUUUCUUACCUAUUAUAAAAUAUGAAUUCGAAA